rnacentral:rRNA from 1 species
CAAUAGCGUAUAUUUAAGUUGUUGCAGUUAAAAAGCUCGUAGUUGGAUUUCGGAUGGGAUUUGCCGGUCCGUCGUUACGAUGUGCACUGGCCAGUCCUAUCUUGUUGUCGGGGACUAGCUCCUUGGAUUCACUUCCUGGGACUAGGAGCUGACGAGGUUACUUUGAGUAAAUUAGAGUGUUCAAAGCAAGCCUACGCUCUGAAUACAUUAGCAUGGAAUAACACGAUAGGACUCUGGCCUAUCGUGUUGGUCUAUAGGACCAGAGUAAUGAUUAAGAGGGACAGUCGGGGGCAUUCGUAUUCCGUUGUCAGAGGUGAAAUUCUUGGAUUUACGGAAGACGAACAUCUGCGAAAGCAUUUGCCAAGGAUGUUUUCAUUGA